GCAGGGACUGCUCUGUGCAGCUCUGAAAGGGUGAACUGCAGGGCCAGCGCAAGUGGGACUGUGUUGGUCUUGUCCACCCAGGGAGCAUCACCAAUGCGUUUGAAGGCUGUCUAGUAGCUGGGUGCCUGAGCGCUGAGCGGGAUGGUUUAAAUACUUCCUGUGCAGUCAAAAUAACUGGAUUGACCCAACUUAUAUGCCUAGGAGCCUCUAAAGUAGAGCAGUCUCCUUCCCGCCAUCACCUUUAUGGAGAGACCAGAUCCCUGACAGGAGCUCCUCAGCACAAAGCACUCUGUGCGAUCGAGCUGCUAGCACCUCCACCCAGUGCUCCCACUGACGACAGAGGGAGUCCCAGUCACAGGGUCCCUGACAGACCGGACCUCUCGCGCCGCGCCCCUGCUUCCCGCAGGCAUUCGUCACAGCGUUCAGCACCGCUUGGCCUAGGUCAGAUGCCUGCGUUAUUCCGCUGGCCAAACCCCUCGCAGUGGGAUACAGUGCUAGCUCUCUCUUUUUGUUUCUCUUUGUUUAUAGUACUCGAUCCAGCUUUCAGGCCAUGCGCAAAUGCUCUGCUCCCAGCCAACUUGAAUUCAUUUCAAGGAAGAUUGCACAAGAAUUCAGCUCUGCUGCUCCGAGCCAGGCCUGCUGGGCUGGCUGUUUUGUUCUCUCGGGCCCCAGUCCUGCCGAAGGACCUGCUGGCACAAACCCCUGGUAAGUGAAGUCAGUAGGAUGCCUCAUGGGCCUCAAAGGAGCCAGAGGAGCAAAGCCCAACAGAGGUCAGGGACAGGCUUUGCAAUUUUAUUAAAAAAAAAAAAGAGAGGGAGAGAGAGCAAACAGAAGUUUCUCUGGGAUGCUUUGCUCUCUAUUAAAGCCAUGCUGAUUGAUGGUAACUCCUGUUACCUCCAAGUAUAAA
rnacentral:lncRNA from 1 species